rnacentral:rRNA from 1 species
AGGACGAACGCUGGCGGCGUGCCUAACACAUGCAAGUCGAGCGGGGACAUACGACGGAUCGGAAGUUUCGGAUGGAUGAGAAGAUGUAUGUUCUAGCGGCGGACGGGUGAGUAACGCGUGAGCAACCUGUCCUUCACAGGGGGAUAACACAGCGAAAGUUGUACUAAUACCGCAUGAGACCACACUGGGACAUCCCAGAGGGGUCAAAGGAGCAAUCCGGUGAAGGGUGGGCUCGCGUCCGAUUAGAUAGUUGGUGAGGUAACGGCCCACCAAGUCGACGAUCGGUAGCCGACCUGAGAGGGUGAUCGGCCACAUUGGGACUGAGACACGGCCCAAACUCCUACGGGAGGCAGCAGUGGGGAAUAUUGGGCAAUGGGGGAAACCCUGACCCAGCAACGCCGCGUGAGGGAAGAAGGUUUUCGGAUCGUAAACCUCUGUCCUUGGUGAAGAGUGAGAGACGGUAGCCAAGGAGGAAGCCCCGGCUAACUACGUGCCAGCAGCAGC